GUAGCAGGCCCCCGUGGAGGAUUAACACAGUGGCUCAACACCGGGAAGGAACUGGCUCUUGGAGUCCGGACAUCUGAAACUUGAAUUAACAAGCCAACAUCAGUCUCCAGAGUGAAUCCAAGGAGAGGACCCAAGACAUUCAUGUUCUGUGAUGUGGUGACAUGUUACCUGUCAUCUCUGAUGCACAACUCCUAAAGUGUUUGCAUCUGGGGCAGUUGUACAGAUUGCAGAAGCUAAUACUCAAGAUGUUCUCCAAGGCCAACUACUCAUCAGUUUAUUCAUGUUUCUGGGAUUGGAUUCAUGAACUCAUCCUUUGAACUAUUUCAACAAGCUUUUUCAUGUAACUAAUCUGCGGAAGGUAGAAAGGGUAAAACUGUUGGGUGCUAAAAUGACAACUGGUUCAAGGUACAACGGCGAAUAUUUUUAUUUCUGCAACUUUUCUUAGAGGUUGGAAACUGGACUAGGCAGGAAGAUUCCGUUUUGUAAGAUUAGUCUCCAGUUUUCAUCAAGCAGUUUAGUGGGGUAUUUUAGACCCAGUUCCCUCUCCACAGUCCCCAAAGUUCUUCUGUUAACUUUAAAUCAGCAAAGAGAGAGAUCUCUGCCAAGCAUCAACUGCAAGAGCAUGUGGGUCAAAGUUACCAGCAGACACUCAAAGCACAUUCACUUUACUUCAACACUGCUUUAUAAAUUAUCUUAGAGAUGUUGUCAAGGUUGGUAUCAGAGGAGGAGCAUCAGAUAAUUAGGCAGCAGUCCAACAAUUAGGUUUUGUGGAACUUUUACUAUGUCAUCUAUUUAUUGGAAUUCCCCCUGGAUACCAGGACCCCCUCCAGCAGAGCUUAAAGUUAUAGUGACAGGAAGUACAAAUUCCGUAUGUGGAUCCCUGGAAGUGUGAUGAGAGGAACCACUGUUUCCAAGAUCUAUUUAUUCUAUUUAUUAGGCCUAUAAAAUCAUGUAAUGACCAUGGCUUCAACUAGACUCU
rnacentral:lncRNA from 1 species